rnacentral:rRNA from 1 species
AACGAACGCUGGCGGCAGGCUUAACACAUGCAAGUCGAACGGGUGCAGCAAUGCAUCAGUGGCAGACGGGUGAGUAACACGUGGGAACCUUCCUGGGGGUACGGAACAACUCAGGGAAACUUGAGCUAAUACCGUAUACGUCCGUGAGGAGAAAGAUUUAUCGCCCUUAGACGGGCCCGCGUCGGAUUAGCUAGUUGGUGGGGUAACGGCCUACCAAGGCGACGAUCCGUAGCUGAUCUUAGAGGAUGAUCAGCCACACUGGGACUGAGACACGGCCCAGACUCCUACGGGAGGCAGCAGUGGGGAAUCUUGGACAAUGGGCGCAAGCCUGAUCCAGCCAUGCCGCGUGAGUGAAGAAGGUCUUCGGAUUGUAAAGCUCUUUUGCCAGGGACGAUAAUGACGGUACCUGGAGAAUAAGCCCCGGCAAACUUCGUGCCAGCAGCAGCCGCGGUAA